CUGGAGAUAGAUACGCAUGUGAGAUGCUUUGUCACAAUCACAUUUUGCUACUGAAUCUCCAUAAAGCAACAGCUUUCUGAUGACUGUAAUUUGUUAAGCUUUAAUUUGCAGACAGAUACGGAGCUAACAAUU